UCUUCCUCCUCCUCCCCUUCCCCAUGUGUGUGGCAGACAAGGGAGCCCCAUCCAAGAGACCCCCAUCCCGCACGAUCAGACGCCUGGCUGCGAUUCCUCUGGUGGCGGAGACGCCGUGUCUCUAGCGAUUUAAUCAUCACAAGUGGGCAAUGUGCUGCCGUGACAGAACUAUGCUGGAAUGCUGAAUCUGUGCCCAAAAAAGGAGUGAGUGGACAAUGCACUGGAGGAACAGAGCCACAUUGGAAUGCAGAAGCCAGAGUAAGAACAAGGCCUGCAAGCUUUGCUGUCCUGACGCGAUGGAACUUCCAGAAGCAAACAAGCCCUGGAGAUGAAUAUGAGCACAUUAUACGCUUCUCUGCCUCUGUUAUUUCUCUGCCUAAUUACACAAUCCCUUUUGCCUCGUAUCCAUGUCCAUCAGGCAGCUGCUGUGGUUCAGGACUCACACCAAGAAAGCUCUUUGCUCCUAGAC